rnacentral:rRNA from 1 species
GACGAACGCUGGCGGCGUGCUUAACACAUGCAAGUCGAACGGAAAGGCCCUGCCUUUGUGGUGUGCUCGAGUGGCGAACGGGUGAGUAACACGUGAGUACACUUCCCUUGACUUUGGGAAAACUUCAGGAAACUGGGGUUAAUACCCGAUAGAAGCUCCUGCUGCAUGGUGGGGGUUGGAAAGUUUCGGCGGUUGGGGAUGGACUCGCGGGUUAUGAGCUUGUUGGUGGGGUAGUGGCUUACCAAGGAUUUGAAGGGUAGCCGGCAUGAGAGGGGGAACGGGCACAAGGGGACUGAGGGACGGCGCAGUGGGCUACGUGGGGCAGCAGGGGGGAGUAUGGUACAACGGGCGCGAGUGUGAUGCAGCAGCGCCGCGGGUGGAAUGACGUUCUUCGGGUAGAAAAACGCUUUCGCCUGUGACGAAGGGUGAGUGACGGUAACGGAUAAAUAAGCACCGGCUAACUACGUG